rnacentral:misc_RNA from 1 species
UUUCUUCAUAGAGGCGUCGCCUCAGUGCCUCAGAGCCUCUCGCCUAUGUUGCUGGGGCACUCACAUUCUCAAUGCCAAGCCAGGUGGUGCCAGGUGAGGCGCUAUAGGGUCGCCUCUCCUCGCCUCAUUGCCUCACUCGCCUUUAAUAACAUUGAAGACAAUAGGCAAAGCUAAAGCAAAGCCUCUAGAGAAGAUUCAUGAAAAGCUUGAUGCAUGAGAAGUGGAAUAGGAUGUCCACAAACUGGCAUGAAUUAGAGAAAGGAAAAGGUUAGACCUAAAUCAAAUCUGGUGAGAUUGGUAAAAGAGAAGGAUAUUAGCCAAUGAUCUAAUCUAUCUUAAUCUGUAGGUGCUUUUUCAAUUAUAUCCUAUGCUUUUAGUUUUAUCAAUUUGGUUUAGAAGUUACAGAUUUUGUCUUAAUGGUAUCCAAUGGGGUUGGGGCAUGUGCCUGUGCUAACAUUUUGUUGAGAUAGAAGCUAAUCGUGGACAACUUGUUGGUCUAGACGAAAUAAGCCCCUUUGAGUCCUAAGAGCCAUCAAACAGUAGCAUUUGCAAACUUUGCCUCUCAUCAAGUUGCUUAAAAUGCUUUU